UACGGAGGGUGCGAGCGUUGUCCGGAAUCACUGGGCGUAAAGGGCGCGUAGGCGGCCUGAUAAGUAGGGGGAGAAAUCCUGCGGCUUAACCGCAGGGCUGCCUUCUAAACUGUCGGGCUAGAGCACGGUAGAGGCAGAUGGAAUUCCCGGUGUAGCGGUGGAAUGCGUAGAGAUCGGGAAGAACAUCAGUGGCGAAGGCGGUCUGCUGGGCCGGUACUGACGCUGAGACGCGAAAGCGUGGGGAGCGAACAGG
rnacentral:rRNA from 1 species